rnacentral:rRNA from 1 species
UGGUUUAAUUCGAAGCAACGCGAAAGAACCUUACCAAAUCUUGACAUCCUUUGACAACUCUAGAGAUAGACCUUUCCCCUUCGGGGGACAAAGUGACAGGUGGUGCAUGGUUGUCGUCAGCUCGUGUCGUGAGAUGUUGGGUUAAGUCCCGCAACGAGCGCAACCCUUAAGCUUAGUUGCCAUCAUUAAGUUGGGCACUCUAAGUUGACUGCCGGUGACAAACCGGA